UACGUAUGUAUAAAUGUUAUACGUAUUCAACCUUUCGAUUUUAUUCUUCCAAUAGCUAACAAGUUUAAGGUCGUUGAUUUAGCUGGCUCGUCGCCUUCUGUGGGAAAGUUUUCUUCAGAGACUUAAGAAGAUGAAGAGUCCUGGUAAAAAAACUUUGAUUAAGUGUUGGUUGAGUGGGGUUGUGCAUGUUGAACGUGUUGAGCAAAUGUAGACCACAACAACUCUUUUUGUGAUGAAAGAAUUGAGGUAACGAAAUAAUUUACUCUAUUUGAUUAAAUGUUUAACUACUUGUGAGUAGAUAUGUAUAUUGCUAUAUGUGUUUUGAAAGAAUUGCAUAUUGCAAAAGAAGGAUUUUGUACAUUUGAAUUGAUUUUCAAACAACUAAAAUUGUGAAAGUUCAUUAGAUGAUUUAAUUAUGAUUUUACUACAAAUAUGUAAUUUGUAUGAGAAGUGUGAGCAUGAUCAUGAUAAGAGGUAGGAGUUCACCUGUAGGAUAGAGUAGUAAAAGUUCAUAUGGCAUAUAUCUCCUUAGUACCUAAUAAGGUACAAUGUUGGGGAUUAUUUCUUUAAUAUCCAUAUAGGAUACGAUAUUAAAGAUUGACACUUCUUAGCAUUAGUGAUGCAAUGUUAGAGUAACAACACCUUGAUUCGUGUGUGACUGGGGGAUACCAUAGUUUAGAAGUGGGAUAGGAUACCUUUAACUGGGUGAUCUUACCACUGAAGGUGAGCUCAGGCCAUUAUGAAUAUGAACUUGGUUCAAUAGAGCUUAUGAUUUCAGUCAUGGUGAUAUGGAAACUCAGAUGGUAAAAUGAUUAUGCUAAAGUGGAAAUGAAUUAUGAUUAUUGAAAAGAUUAUGUUGACUAUGCAAAAUGAAUGUUUUAACAAUUAUUAGCUUUAUUCCCCUAUAGUUGUUCAUGUUAAUUAAUAGUAAUAAAUUAUUUUGUUACUUAGAUGUUUAUCUCACCUUGUGGUUAUAUGUUACAAGUAAGGGCUCUGGUAGGGGUAAAGGGAAGGAAGGGACUACUGAGGCUUGUCACAUCUGGAAAUGCGACGCGGAUGGUGCAAGAGCGAAGGUUCCGGCCUUCGGAAGGAAGACUGGAGAAAUAGGAGUCGCCACCAAAAUUUUGAGGGAAAUCUCGAGAAACCGUUUAAAGGUGGAUAAAGGUGGUCUGCGAAAAUAGAAAAUAGGUUCGGGAGUCGAUUGAGUGUGGGGAAGGUGUUAGGCACCCCACAACACCCGUUCAUAAGAACGGUUACCUGAAGUUUGUUGUGCUAUAUAAAUAUAAUUUUAAAUUAUUUUAAUUAUCCCUUUUAUAUUCAUGUGUUUGAUAUAAAAAUAAUAAGAAUUAAGUGCGAAAUGUUUAUUUAUUUA